rnacentral:misc_RNA from 1 species
AACGCACCUUGCACUCCGUGGUUUACCACGGAGUACGCCCGUUCGAGUGUCACGUUAACCAUCGCCAAAGUGAGUUUUCUCACUGAAGCGGAUCUGGGCGCUGCCGUAGUUCGGCUCGCCUCAAAUGCAUUAGCGAGGGUGGAAGCACCUAACGGCGUGAUAAUGUCUCGUCCUCAAAGUGUGGAAGCUCUGCUUCGAAUCGUCCGGCGUAUCUGGACAUCAUUACAAGUUUUGACCUCGAAUCGGGUGGGACUACCCGCUGAACUUAA